rnacentral:lncRNA from 1 species
GAGCAUUGGGAGCGCCAUUUUUGUUGGAAGACCCUGCAAACCAGUUCCUACGUCUCAAAAGACAUGUAAAUUUGCAGGAUUACUGGGACCCAGAUCACAGUUCAGAUGUGUGGGUAAACACACUGGCUAAGCAGGAAUAUCUGUAUGAUAAUCAGAAUAACUGAUGCAAGAUGUGUUCUACACACUCAGAGAUCAUGACUUGUGUUUCCUUUUCUUGAAGGCUCGUGAAACAUGGAUUGCUUUGAAAACAACAGCACAGUAUUAUUUGGAUAUGAAUACCUUCACCUUUGACAUGUCUACUGCCCAGUAAAUAUGUUUUCCUGGUUAAAGCAGGAGGAUGAAGAUGGCAGAGGUUGGAAUGGCAUUGUGCCAAAACCAUGGGUUUUAGAGAUCUGAGGGUAUAUCCAUGCUGUUUACUACAUUAUUUAUUAUGUCUGUCUCAAAGUUGUUGAAAACAGUAGUUAUGAAAACCCAUGUAGGAAACUGGAAUAAGACAUUCUCAAUAAAUGGUAGUUCUCAAAAAAAGAACUAAAAAAAAAAAAGGCUGUAGUAAUAACAUUUACCAAAACGAUGGCAUUUAUGGGAAAAGGAAAGCAAAAACAUAAACAAAGAAAAGUAGUUUCAUUAAACCACUCUGUUCAUAGCUUUUACUCUCUAUUGCCUCUUCUUUGAGAGAGUUUUUUAAUUCAAAGAAGGACAGGGAGCUCUCAAAUGGAGCUGAUCCUCUUCUCUCUUCUUCAGUGCUUGUCGCAUUCUUAAGUCAGUCGAUUUUAAAACCAU